rnacentral:tRNA from 1 species
CCUCUCGGAGCUUAGUGAUAGAGCAAUGCUAUGCAAAACCAGCGACCCGGGUUCGAUUCCCGGCGAAGGCG